rnacentral:rRNA from 1 species
AGCGAACGCUGGCGGCAGGCCUAACACAUGCAAGUCGAACGAACUCUUCGGAGUUAGUGGCGGACGGGUGAGUAACACGUGGGAACGUGCCUUUAGGUUCGGAAUAACUCAGGGAAACUUGUGCUAAUACCGAAUGUGCCCUUCGGGGGAAAGAUUUAUCGCCUUUAGAGCGGCCCGCGUCUGAUUAGCUAGUUGGUGAGGUAAAGGCUCACCAAGGCGACGAUCAGUAGCUGGUCUGAGAGGAUGAUCAGCCACAUUGGGACUGAGACACGGCCCAAACUCCUACGGGAGGCAGCAGUGGGGAAUCUUGCGCAAUGGGCGAAAGCCUGACGCAGCCAUGCCGCGUGAAAGAUGAAGGUCUUAGGAUUGUAAAAU